CAGGACAGUUAUGAAAAUAAAACUAUGUAAUCACAUGCUUGCAAACUGAAAUUGGACUUUUCAACUUACUUGAAAAGCCUAGAGGCUUAUUUUUUUCCAGCUAAGGCUAUAGUUUAAACAUUACUUUAUAUUCUAUCUCCUUUUAAAAAUAGAAGGGACCAGUUCAAAUCCCACUUGUGGGCAGUGCCCACACAUCGUGUGUAUUAGGUUUAAAUGCUGUAGUCCUCAGAGGUGAACAUGGCUGGCCAGGUGGUAGGGGAAAAAUCUCCUUUCUGCAGGGGCUGGAGCUGAGCCACUGUUGGGGGUGUGUGUGGCUCAUGACAGUCAUUCCUCAUCACACAGCUCUGGCUGCCUUUGUAGCUUGGCACAGCUCAAGUUCUUCCCUACAGGAGCUCAGUUCUCGUUCAGAAGGUUGUUAACGUUUGCACAGCAUUAAAUGCACACAUUACCCAUAAAUGCAGCCAGAGUCCUAACAUGCAACAAGUGCAUGUUGGAAAUCCAGCACAAACGUUUGUUUUCUUUCUCCUCCUCCUCCUUUACAAAGUCUGAUGUUUGAAACUGGUCAAUGGCAGAGUAGGAGUAGCUGGUAGGGGAGCCAGGGAAGGGGGUCUGGGAAGGUAAGGGGGAAUUGAAAAUAGGAAAUGGAAGUGUAUUUGGGAGACAGCCAAGAUGUAGUUCUACCCGCAAGCAAGGAGCAGAAAAACAGGUUGGUUCAUUUUUAGGAGGAUAGUAUUCCUUGCAGGAUGGCAGCACCAUUUAUUUUGUAAUUUCAUGGUAUAAAACCUCCUGGGCUUUGUCUUAGCCCUGGCUUCUACUGAGUAAAACAAACGUUUUGUACUGUUGCCACUCUGAAGUCAUCCGAUGAAAGCUGACAGACCAUCCAGAUAUUCUGGUGCCCAAGGGGGGGUUACCUAGGAUCCUAUUAACCAUAAAAUGGCCAACUCCUGACUUCAUCUUUUGUAAAAAAGCAAAGCAAUUUUUCAUUUCCUCUUCUAAUGGUGGCUGGCGAAGGCUCAGCUGGCUGCUCGCUGAACCAUAAUGCAUAAAACUGAUCUUGAUGGGAACACAAGAUUCCCUGCUAAAUAUCAAGAAGUUCCCAGGUAUAGCCCUUUCCUCAGGAACUAUGAUUAAUAUAGUAAUAUUUCUCUUCAAACAGAAUCUCAAUACUUUAUUCCUGUGAAGUAGAUGGGGGAAGAAUGUAUGCAAUCUAAUUAAUGACUUGCCAGUGCUCUCUGCUUUCAAGAUGGGGCUGUCCUGGCGUCUAACCAUUUUUCUAAUGGUGUCCCAAGCUUAAGCGCUUGAAACACCAGCCAGGUGCUCCACUGGGCACUUGCUCUUUAAAGGACAACAAUGGCUCAAACACUUUGAUAUGUAAAUAAUUUAAGAGCCAAUUAAAUAUUAACAGGAUUUCUAGACUCUUCAAAAGAAAUAGAGAGUGAGAGAUAUUGGCUGCACACAAAGCAAAGCCUGAAAGCUGGAUUAAGAAUGGAAAUACCACUUGUGAACUAAUUUGAAUUAAGAGAUUACACAUGCACUAGGACUCCAUGAUCCAAGUAUUUAUCCUGGCUAAAGAAACUUCAUGUGUUGCCUGUUGGAAUCUGGAUCUGGGUUAAAGUCUUGGUCUAUAGUCUGUACAGUCCUGAGAGGGGAUGGAGCCUUUAGAAGGUCAUAGAUUAAGGGGCAUGACCUUGAAGGGGAUAUUAAGAUCCCAGCCAAGUGGUCCAUGUGCUCCCACCCUGAAGUACUGCCUCACCUCUGGCCCAAAAGCAAGAAGGCUAACAGACCAUGGACUGAAACUUCUAUAACCAGAGCUAAAAGAAUCCUUUUCUAUUUGACAAUGACUAUCUCUAGUCUUGGUUACAGUACCAGAAUCACCCAACACUCUGUCCUUCACACACAGUACAGCUGACAUCUCAGAGCUUUACUUCCAGAGCUCGAAGCCAGUAAACAGGGCCCAUAGUGAACAGAAGAAACAUGGAAUCAAAGCAGCUUUUAGUCUAGAAGGCCUCCUCCCUCACCCAGCACUUCACGGACAAGCCAUCCCACAAGGGCAGCUGGCACACAAUGGAAGGGUCUUAACGUAGCUUACACCAAAAUCUUUGUCUAAAGGCAGCUCCUAUAAACAGCCCGAUAAUGCAUGAUUCGCCCAUGAGAUCAUUCCAGAAUUGGGCUCUGUGUGGGAAUAUGCUUGGUGUGAGGAAAGAAAUGUAGCUUGUGAAAGUGUAAUUUUCCACCACGAAAAGAGAUGUUUUCUGGGGAAAGUGGGUGGGGAAGGAGGAGGGUGGGCCUGGGGCCAGGCGGGAGCAUUUAGGUUUGAAGGCUCUCUCUAAGAAUAGAAGAAGCUGUUCUCUGUGUCACAAAGUGAUCAAGGCUCAGAAAACAGACCCAAGUGGAUGACCUCAUCUGGAAGCCCUGAAUGCCAAGAGCUAAGGACACACACACCAUGGGGGAAGGGGGGGCAGAUAACAAUUUAAAAACACACCCCCAGAGAUACCUUGCACACUCCAAUGUGAGUGCCACACUCAGCCUGUUUUUGUUGUUUUUUAUAGCUGGUACUGGGGCUUGAAGUCUAGGCCUCAGGCUCUUGCUCAGUUUUUUGGCUAACAGCUGGCUGUCUGCUAUUUGAGCCAUAUAUCCAGUCUGCUGGCUGUGGAAAAUCUCAAAAGAAA